rnacentral:lncRNA from 1 species
UAUAAAGUGGACAGGUAAGAAAUUUCGCCUGAAGAGUGGUCUGCUAGUUACUUCAUCGGCUAUUGCCACACAGCAGUAUAUUUCUGAACUAUUUCUUGAAACCUGUAACAUGGAGUCUGUUAUGAAGAAAGCAGCAAUUAUUUUGUUUGUUGCCCUCUGUGUCAUCAGCUGCCAUUCGGCUUCUUCAAGUGGAGCUAGGAAAGCAGUGGUAGAGGAACGAGUGUUGUAUUCAACUAGAGACUGCUGGAGACACACUUGUCCUAAAUGUCCCGGUGGGUGCAGGUGUCCGGGCUUCGUUUCCCGUUUACUCGGAAGACAUGCCUGUUACUGAAAAGCACGGAGAAUAAAAG